AACCAGUGCUGCCUGAAACAGCAUCAACCACAACAUGGCAUUGAUUUGUCUGUCCUUAGACCUCCUGAAAAGACAUGUAUUCCUUCGGCUGCUAGCAAGAGGAAGCCCUACAGAGACCAUCUAAUGAUGCUUAACCAUACUGACUACCUGCACUAAAUAUAAUACAGGAAGAUGAUGGUAAGGACAGCAGAACAGAGAUGGAAUAAGAUGCCAGUUCCAUGCAGGUCACAUUUAGCUCCAGAUUGUUUUCACAUCAGAUUUAGCUGGCAUCAUAUCCUAGGAUUCUGCACUUGGAGUGAACCA